CAGCAGUGGGGAAUAUUGCACAAUGGGGCGCAAGCCUGAUGCAGCCAUGCCGCGUGUGUGAAGAAGGCCUUCGGGUUGUAAAGCACUUUCAGCGAGGAGGAAGGUGGUGAGCUUAAUACGCUCAUCAAUUGACGUUACUCGCAGAAGAAGCACCGGCUAACUCCGUGCCAGCAGCCGCGGUAAUACGGAGGGUGCAAGCGUUAAUCGGAAUUACUGGGCGUAAAGCGCACGCAGGCGGUUUGUUAAGUCAGAUGUGAAAUCCCCGGGCUCAACCUGGGAACUGCAUUUGAAACUGGCAAGCUAGAGUCUCGUAGAGGGGGGUAGAAUUCCAGGUGUAGCGGUGAAAUGCGUAGAGAUCUGGAGGAAUACCGGUGGCGAAGGCGGCCCCCUGGACGAAGACUGACGCUCAGGUGCGAAAGCGUGGGGAGCUAACGGGAUUAGAUACCCUGGUAGUCCACGCUGUAAACGAUGUCGAUUUGGAGGUUGUGCCCUUGAGCGUGGCUUCC
rnacentral:rRNA from 1 species